AGCAUAUCACUAAGCGGAGGAAAAGAAACUAACAAGGAUUCCCUUAGUAACGGCGAGUGAACAGGGAUGAGCCCAGCACCGAAGCCUGUGGCCAUUUGGUUACUAGGCAAUGUGGUGUUUAGGUCGUUCCGCAGAGACACUGCUCCUCUCUAAGUCCAUCAAUGAGUACGGUUGUACUGACAUGGCCCAUGGAGGGUGAAAGGCCCGUAAGAGAGGAGUUUUGGUAUGACAGUGUCUCUCUGGAUUGACCUUGGAGUCGGGUUGUUUGGGAAUGCAGCCCUAAGCGGGUGGUAAACUCCAUCCAAGGCUAAAUACAAGCACGAGUCCGAUAGCGAACAAGUACCGUGAGGGAAAGUUGAAAAGUACUUUGAAGAGAGAGUAAACAGUGCGUGAAACCGCUUAGAGGUAAACGGGUGGAGUUGAACUGCAAUCUCUGAGAAUUCAGCUGGUGAAUAUUAAUUGAGCUUGGUCAAAUGGGCAGGGCCCCGGGGUAUGCUCAGUUGCAUGUUCUGACCUUCGGGUUGGGAUGCGCGUUGCUCUUACCAAGGGUUGCGCGCCUCGGGUGUUCGGCUGGCUUUGUCACUAGUGCACUUUCUCGGAGUGAUCACUACGACCGGCGCUGCUGCUUGGCUGUUCUAGUUAAAUCGAACGUACUUCGUCCUUGUGGCGUUGGGCGGUCGACACGGCAGGGAACUGGGGGCUUGCUUCGGCUUGCUUCUCGGUGUAUGCUGGCUUUAACGGUUCUAUGCGGUGUGUCGGAGACGGCGGCUAGUAGUGUGUGCAUGCGUAUCUAUCUGUUGGCGUAUUCUGGUUUGGUAGCUGUGUGCUUGUUCAAGCAGGCCCAGUUAUGGCCGGGGUGUGUCAGUGGGUGGUUGCGUGUGUGGCACUUUUCUGGGCCAACAGUCUGUGGUGUUGUGGUAGACUAUCCACCUGACCCGUCUUGAAACACGGACCAAGGAGAGUAACAUGUGCGCGAGUCAUUGGGCGUAACGAAACCCACAGGCGCAGUGAAAGUAAAGGUCUGGCUUGUCCAGUCUAAGGUGAGAUCCUGUCGUUGUUCAUGCGUGGUAUCACCAAGCAAGGAGCGAUGGGCGCAUCACCGGCCCGUCCCAUGACGUGGUCACAGUCUUCGGAUUGUGCGCCGUGGGGGCGGAGCAUGAGCGUACAUGUUGAGACCCGAAAGAUGGUGAACUAUGCUUGCGCAGGUUGAAGCCAGAGGAAACUCUGGUGGAGGACSGKAGCGAUUCUGACGUGCAAAUCGAUCGUCAAACGUGAGUAUAGGGGCGAAAGACUAAUCGA
rnacentral:rRNA from 1 species